rnacentral:rRNA from 1 species
UACGGGGGGAGCAAGCGUUGUUCGGAUUCACUGGGCGUAAAGGGUGCGUAGGUGGCGAGGUAAGUUUGAUGUGAAAUCUCCGGGCUUAACCCGGAAGAUGCAUUGAAUACUAUUUUGCUGGAGGGUUGGAGGGGGGACUGGAAUACUUGGUGUAGCAGUGAAAUGCGUAGAUAUCAAGUGGAACACCAGUGGCGAAGGCGAGUCCCUGGACAACUCCUGACACUGAGGCACGAAAGCUAGGGGAGCAAACAGG